rnacentral:rRNA from 1 species
UGGUGCGAUCAUACCAGCACUAAUGCACCGGAUCCCAUCAGAACUCCGCAGUUAAGCGCGCUUGGGCUAGAGCAGUACUAAGAUGGGUGACCCCCUGGGAAGUCCUCGUGUUGCACCCCU